rnacentral:lncRNA from 1 species
GGAUUCUUCAUAAAAUUGGAUCCCUCCGGCAGACAAUCUUCAGACGAGCUUCCACAUCAGACAAAUUUCAGACAGACUCCUCUAGCGAUCGGACUCUUACCAGACUUCUCCAAUAGAAAGUUUCCAUCCGAGCUUCUACAGCAGAUGACUUCUACCUACAGCAUUAGUGCCCAAGGCACCCGACGAUAGUGGACCCGUCAGCAACCUCGAAAACAUCCGAGCUUC